GGGUUACCGCUAGCGCGACCUAACACAUGCAAGUCGAGGGGCAGCACAUGAGUAGCAAUACGAUGGUGGCGACCGGCGCACGGGUGAGUAACACGUAUGCAACCUGCCUUCUACUAUGGGAUAACCCGUUGAAAGACGGACUAAUACCGUAUAAUACAGGGGCUCCGCAUGGAGAUAUUUGUUAAAGAUUUAUUGGUAGAAGAUGGGCAUGCGUAUGAUUAGAUAGUUGGUGAGGUAACGGCUCACCAAGUCAACGAUCAUUAGGGGUUCUGAGAGGAAGGUCCCCCACACUGGUACUGAGACACGGACCAGACUCCUACGGGAGGCAGCAGUGAGGAAUAUUGGUCAAUGGACGAGAGUCUGAACCAGCCAAGUCGCGUGAAGGAAGACGGUUCUAUGAAUUGUAAACUUCUUUUGUGCAGGAAUAAAGUGGGUUACGUGUAACCUUUUGUAUGUACUGUACGAAUAAGGAUCGGCUAACUCCGUGCCAGCAGCCGCGGUAAUACGGAGGAUCCGAGCGUUAUCCGGAUUUAUUGGGUUUAAAGGGUGCGUAGGUGGAUUGAUAAGUCAGCGGUGAAAGUUUGCAGCUUAACUGUAAAAUUGCCGUUGAAACUGUCGGUCUUGAGUGCAAAUGAGGUAGGCGGAAUGUGUUGUGUAGCGGUGAAAUGCUUAGAUAUAACACAGAACUCCGAUUGCGAAGGCAGCUUACUGGGAUGCAACUGACACUGGUGCACGAAAGCGUGGGUAUCAAACAGGAUUAGAUACCCUGGUAGUCCACGCAGUAAACGAUGAAUACUAGCUGUAUGCGAUAUACCGUAUGUGGCACAGCGAAAGCGUUAAGUAUUCCACCUGGGGAGUACGUUCGCAAGAAUGAAACUCAAAUGAAUUGACGGAAG
rnacentral:rRNA from 1 species